AUUGAACGCUGGCGGCAGGCCUAACACAUGCAAGUCGAACGAGUGGCGGACGGGUGAGUAAUGUCUGGGAAACUGCCCGAUGGAGGGGGCUAACUACGGGAAACGGUAGCUAAUACCGCAUACCAUCGGAUGUGCCCAGAUGGGAUUAGCUAGUAGGUGUGGUAACGGCUCACCUAGGCGACGAUCCCUAGCUGGUCUGAGAGGAUGACCAGACACAUUGGAACGUAGACAAGGUCAAGACUCCGACGGGAGGCAGCAGUGGGGAAUAUUGCACAAUGGGCGCAAGCCUGAUGAAGCCAGGCCGCGUGUAUGAAGAAGGCCUUCGGGUUGUAAAGUACUGUCAGCGAGGAGGCGUUACUCGCAGAAGAAGCACCGGCUAACUCCGUGCCAGCAGCCGCGGUAAUUC
rnacentral:rRNA from 1 species